rnacentral:rRNA from 1 species
UACGUAGGGUCCGAGCGUUGUCCGGAAUUAUUGGGCGUAAAGGGCUCGUAGGCGGUUUGUCGCGUCGGGAGUGAAAACUCAGGGCUCAACCCUGAGCGUGCUUCCGAUACGGGCAGACUAGAGGUAUGCAGGGGAGAACGGAAUUCCUGGUGUAGCGGUGGAAUGCGCAGAUAUCAGGAGGAACACCGGUGGCGAAGGCGGUUCUCUGGGCAUGUCCUGACGCUGAGGAGCGAAAGUGUGGGGAGCGAACAGG